CAUUCAGUCGGGGUGCCUUUUCCCCUUGCCUCGGAAUAUGAACAAGAAGGUUCCCGAGACGGGGCCGUUCCGGCGAGGUUUUUGUUGGGGGCGACCCGACGCAUUUGGUUCCCGCCCGAAAGGACGCCGCAACCGGUUGGCGGGACGGCCUUAAUGGGCGAGAGCUGGGCAUUUCCGGCGGCUUGUUUGCCGGAGGCCUUUCUCGUCUCCACGGCACGUCCUCCGACCGUGGCAAAAGAGAGGCCCCGAUGGGCUUCGACGUCUCCUCCCCUUCCCCAUUUCUUGGGUGGCGGCGGUGGCGGGUGAAGAAGCGCCUUGGCAGGAGGUCGAACGCGUUGCGGGCGCACGGUCCGACACCGUGGCCCGAGCAGCGCCUCGCCUUCGUUGGCUUGCGCAAGGCCCGCACGGAGUGCAUGACGGUUGGCGGCGAGUAGGUCGGUCACCCACCCGACCCGUCUUGAAACACGGACCAAGGAGUCUAACAUGUGCGCGAGUCAAUGGGACUCGAAUAAGCCCAGAGGCGCAAUGAAAGCGAAGGGCCGGAGGAGUCCGGUCCGUGUCGGGAUCCCCCGCCAGACAUGUGCGGGGGCGCACCGACGACCCGCUCCCGUUCCACUCUCGCGGUGGAUGGGGGUGGAGUCCGAGCGCACACGUUGGGACCCGAAAGAUGGUGAACUAUGCCCGGGCAGAACGAAGUCAGGGGAAACUCUGGUGGAGGUUCGC
rnacentral:rRNA from 1 species